UCGGACGUGGUGCACGGCGCACACCAGCUUAAUUUGUAGCCAUGCAGAACACUGUGAUGCUGGAGGACCGGGUUCGACUCCCGGCGUCUGGA